rnacentral:rRNA from 1 species
ACGAACGCUGGCGGCGUGCUUAACCCAUGCCAGUCGAACGGAAAGGCCCUGCUUUUGUGGGGUGCUCGAGUGGCGAACGGGUGAGUAACACGUGAGUAACCUGCCCUUGACUUUGGGAUAACUUCAGGAAACUGGGGCUAAUACCGGAUAGCAGCUCCUGCUGCAUGGUGGGGGUUGGAAAGUUUCGGCGGUUGGGGAUGGACUCGCGGCUUAUCAGCUUGUUGGUGGGGUAGUGGCUUACCAAGGCUUUGACGGGUAGCCGGCCUGAGAGGGUGACCGGCCACAUUGGGACUGAGAUACGGCCCAGACUCCUACGGGAGGCAGCAGUGGGGAAUAUUGCACAAUGGGCGGAAGCCUGAUGCAGCAACGCCGCGUGCGGGAUGACGGCCUUCGGGUUGUAAACCGCUUUCGCCUGUGACGAAGCGUGAGUGACGGUAAUGGGUAAAGAAGCACCGGCUAACUACGUG